rnacentral:rRNA from 1 species
AUUGAACGCUGGCGGCAGGCCUAACACAUGCAAGUCGAGCGGAUGAGUGGAGCUUGCUCCAUGAUUCAGCGGCGGACGGGUGAGUAAUGCCUAGGAAUCUGCCUGGUAGUGGGGGACAACGUUUCGAAAGGAACGCUAAUACCGCAUACGUCCUACGGGAGAAAGUGGGGGAUCUUCGGACCUCACGCUAUCAGAUGAGCCUAGGUCGGAUUAGCUAGUUGGUGAGGUAAAGGCUCACCAAGGCGACGAUCCGUAACUGGUCUGAGAGGAUGAUCAGUCACACUGGAACUGAGACACGGUCCAGACUCCUACGGGAGGCAGCAGUGGGGAAUAUUGGACAAUGGGCGAAAGCCUGAUCCAGCCAUGCCGCGUGUGUGAAGAAGGUCUUCGGAUUGUAAAGCACUUUAAGUUGGGAGGAAGGGCAGUAAGUUAAUACCUUGCUGUUUUGACGUUACCAACAGAAGAAGCCCCGGCUAACUUCGUGCCAGCAGCCGCGGUAAAAC